UACAGAGGUCCCGAGCGUUGUUCGGAUUCACUGGGCGUAAAGGGUGCGUAGGUGGUGAGGAAAAGUCGGAUGUGAAAUCUCCCGAGCUCAACUCGGAAAUGGCAUUGGAAACUACCUUGCUCGAGGGUUGGAGGGGGGGACUGGAAUACUUGGUGUAGCAGUGAAAUGCGUAGAUAUCAAGAGGAACACCAGUGGCGAAGGCGAGUCUCUGGACGACUCCUGACACUGAGGCACGAAAGCCGGGGGGAGCAAACAGG
rnacentral:rRNA from 1 species